rnacentral:rRNA from 1 species
AGCGAACGCCGGCGGCAGGCCUAACACAUGCAAGUCGAACGAACCUUUCGGGGUUAGUGGCGGACGGGUGAGUAACACGUGGGAACGUGCCUUUAGGUUCGGAAUAACUCAGGGAAACUUGUGCUAAUACCGAAUGUGCCCUUCGGGGGAAAGAUUUAUCGCCUUUAGAGCGGCCCGCGUCUGAUUAGCUAGUUGGUUGAGGUAAUGGCUCACCAAGGCGACGAUCAGUAGCUGGUCUGAGAGGAUGAUCAGCCACAUUGGGACUGAGACACGGCCCAAACUCCUACGGGAGGCAGCAGUGGGGAAUCUUGCGCAAUGGGCGAAAGCCUGACGCAGCCAUGCCGCGUGAAUGAUGAAGGUCUUAGGAUUGUAAAAUUCUUUCACCGGGGACGAUAAUGACGGUACCCGGAGAAGAAGCCCCGGCUAACUUCGUG